AACCCGCACCACAUGUACAUGUUUGGAGCUUGAAAAAAAAUGUUGCCUGCAAAAAUAGGUGUUCUUUCACGGAUUCUUGCAGUGAACUACUUCAUGUUGUUAAAUUUGGGUGAGUCAAGAGUUGCCCAAAAAGAAGAACAAAUUGCCGUUACAAUGGGAGCGACACACUGGAAGUUCAAUGGUGAAUUGUGCCAGAUUGAAGCAGUCAGAGUGACAACUGAUUGACCAAGUUGGUCCGAAACUGAUGUUAAAUGCAACUGCAGUAUAGGAAAGGAUACUCUCUGCCACGUAGUAGCUAUUACUCUUAAGGGCAUAAGUCUUCCUGGAGUUCUUCCACCUGAACUGGUAAAGGUUCCUUAGAUUCAACCAAUUGAUUUUGCAUACAAUUACCUCAGUGGUAGUAUACCAGCCGAAUGGUCGUCAACCCAGAUAAACUCUAUCUCUGUUCUUGUGAACCGGUUGUCAGGAGAAAUGCCGAAGGAACUGGGAAACAUUAUCAACCUUACCUAUAUUCAGCAGUGCACGAAUCUAUAUGUCAAUCUUUCAUCAGCAACUUCGCAGGGAACCAAUUCUCAGGCAUUAUUCUUCCUGAAGUAGGAAAACUGAUAAACUUAAAGACACUUUUCAGGCUAUUGUCCUCCAACCAACUGGAGGGAGAGCUAAGCCAACAUCACUGUCUGGACUUGUAAAUUCAAUAGAUUUUAGGAUAAGUGAUAACAAUCUCAGUGAGCCAAUUCCAGAUUUUAUACAGAAUUGGAAACAACUUGCAAAAUUAGAGCAGCAUGCCUCCCGUCUAGAGGGUCCCAUUCCAUCAGGCAUAUCUCUCCUCAAUAUACUAACCGACCUGAGGAUUAGCGACAUAAAUGGACCAAUGCAGGAAUUUCCUCCUCCAAUUAACAUGACAGGCCUAGUGAUACUAAUUAAGAGGACUAGAUCUGUAAACUGGUGUAUUUACUUUCAGACAAAUUAAAGCUACCACAAGUAACUUUGAUGCUGCAAGUAAGCUUGGUGAAGGUGGAUUUGGAUCUGUCUAAAUGGGUACACUAGCGGAUGGUACUAUAAUUGCUGUCAAGCAGCUUUCAUCCAAGUCAAGACAAGGGAACCAUGAAUUUGUAAAUGAAGUAUUAAUAGGCAUGAUGUCAGGUUUACGUCACCCAAAUUUCAUUCGACUCUACGGAUGUGUUGAACGAAACCAACUUUUACUAGUUUAUGAGUACAUGGAGAACAAUAACCUUUCCCAUGUUUUAUUUGGUAAGUAGUAUUCUUGAUGGAUUACUUAAGGUACAACUCAUAAAGGACA